rnacentral:rRNA from 1 species
AUUGAACGCUGGCGGCACGCCUAACACAUGCAAGUCGAGCGGCAGCGCGAUAUGUAGCAAUACAUAUUGGCGGCGAGCGGCGGACGGGUGAGGAACACGUAGGAACCUACCCUCGAGUGGGGGAUAACCAAGGGAAACUUUGGCUAAUACCGCAUGAUUUCGAGAGAGCAAAGCUGCCGCAAGGUGGCGCUCGAGGAGGGGCCUGCGUCCGAUUAGCUAGUUGGUGAGGUAAGAGCUCACCAAGGCGAUGAUCGGUAACUGGUCUGAGAGGACGGCCAGUCACACUGGGACUGAGACACGGCCCAGACUCCUACGGGAGGCAGCAGUGGGGAAUAUUGGACAAUGGGGGCAACCCUGAUCCAGCGAUGCCGCGUGAGUGAAGAAGGCCUUCGGGUCGUAAAGCUCUUUAGGUUGGGAAGAAGAGUGAUGGAGGAAAUGCUAUCACUUUGACGGUACCGACGGAAUAAGCACCGGCAAACUCUGUGCCAGCCGCCGCGGUAACAC